rnacentral:rRNA from 1 species
GAAAUAGGACGUGUGGUUCUAUUUUGUUGGUUUCUAGGACCGCCGUAAUGAUUAAUAGGGACAGUCGGGGGCAUCAGUAUUCAAUUGUCAGAGGUGAAAUUCUUGGAUUUAUUGAAGACUAACUACUGCGAAAGCAUUUGCCAAGGAUGUUUUCAUUAAUCAGGAACGAAAGUUAGGGGAUCGAAGACGAUCAGAUACCGUCGUAGUCUUAACCAUAAACUAUGCCGACUAGGGAUCGGACGAUGUUAUUUUUUGACGCGUUCGGCACCUUACGAGAAAUCAAAGUGCUUGGGCUCCAGGGGGAGUAUGGUCGCAAGGCUGAAACUUAAAGAAAUUGACGGAAGGGCACCACCAGGGGUGGAGCCUGCGGCUUAAUUUGACUCAACACGGGGAAACUCACCAGGUCCAGACACAAUGAGGAUUGACAGAUUGAGAGCUCUUUCUUGAUUUUGUGGGUGGUGGUGCAUGGCCGUUCUUAGUUGGUGGAGUGAUUUGUCUGCUUAAUUGCGAUAACGAACGAGACCUUAACCUGCUAAAUAGCCCGUAUUGCUUUGGCAGUACGCUGGCUUCUUAGAGGGACUAUCGGCUCAAGCCGAUGAAAGUUUGAGGCAAUAACAGGUCUGUGAUGCCCUUAGAUGUUCUGAGCCGCACGCGCGCUACACUGACGAAGCCAGCGGAGUACUUCCCUGGCCGGAAGGCCCGGGACUUCUGAUAAUUCUCUCUC